AGAUGUGAUGGCAAGCAGGGCGUGGCUCAUGCCAUCCUAUUGGCCACCAUGGUUGAUUCCAUUGAGAUGCCUGACUAGGGUAUCCACUUCCUUCCUAGCUGCUCCACGCAAUCCCUUCCCAAGUUGUUCACUUGGUGGAAGAGAAUGGCCCUUCACGGGGAAGGGAAGACUGUUCUUCAGUCAUGUGUUUAGAGUAUCCAUGACUCCCUACUAGAACCUCCUAAUAAUGUUAAUAAUACAUGGACCACAAGGGCCAGCGAGAUGGCUCUGCAGGUGAAGGCAACAGCCACCAAGCUUUAGGACCUGAGUU
rnacentral:snRNA from 1 species